UGCAGUCGAGCGGACAGAUGGGAGCUUGCUCCCUGAUGUUAGCGGCGGACGGGUGAGUAACACGUGGGUAACCUGCCUGUAAGACUGGGAUAACUCCGGGAAACCGGGGCUAAUACCGGAUGGUUGUUUGAACCGCAUGGUUCAAACAUAAAAGGUGGCUUCGGCUACCACUUACAGAUGGACCCGCGGCGCAUUAGCUAGUUGGUGAGGUAACGGCUCACCAAGGCAACGAUGCGUAGCCGACCUGAGAGGGUGAUCGGCCACACUGGGACUGAGACACGGCCCAGACUCCUACGGGAGGCAGCAGUAGGGAAUCUUCCGCAAUGGACGAAAGUCUGACGGAGCAACGCCGCGUGAGUGAUGAAGGUUUUCGGAUCGUAAAGCUCUGUUGUUAGGGAAGAACAAGUACCGUUCGAAUAGGGCGGUACCUUGACGGUACCUAACCAGAAAGCCACGGCUAACUACGUGCCAGCAGCCGCGGUAAUACGUAGGUGGCAAGCGUUGUCCGGAAUUAUUGGGCGUAAAGGGCUCGCAGGCGGUUUCUUAAGUCUGAUGUGAAAGCCCCCGGCUCAACCGGGGAGGGUCAUUGGAAACUGGGGAACUUGAGUGCAGAAGAGGAGAGUGGAAUUCCACGUGUAGCGGUGAAAUGCGUAGAGAUGUGGAGGAACACCAGUGGCGAAGGCGACUCUCUGGUCUGUAACUGACGCUGAGGAGCGAAAGCGUGGGGAGCGAACAGGAUUAGAUACCCUGGUAGUCCACGCCGUAAACGAUGAGUGCUAAGUGUUAGGGGGUUUCCGCCCCUUAGUGCUGCAGCUAACGCAUUAAGCACUCCGCCUGGGGAGUACGGUCGCAAGACUGAAACUCAAAGGAAUUGACGGGUGCCCGCACCAAGCGGUGGAGCAUGUGGUUUAAUUCGAAGCAACGCGAAGAACCUUACCAGGUCUUGACAUCCUCUGACAAUCCUAGAGAUAGGACGUCCCCUUCGGGGGCAGAGUGACAGGUGGUGCAUGGUUGUCGUCAGCUCGUGUCGUGAGAUGUUGGGUUAAGUCCCGCAACGAGCGCAACCCUUGAUCUUAGUUGCCAGCAUUCAGUUGGGCACUCUAAGGUGACUGCCGGUGACAAACCGGAGGAAGGUGGGGAUGACGUCAAAUCAUCAUGCCCCUUAUGACCUGGGCUACACACGUGCUACAAUGGACAGAACAAAGGGCAGCGAAACCGCGAGGUUAAGCCAAUCCCACAAAUCUGUUCUCAGUUCGGAUCGC
rnacentral:rRNA from 1 species